rnacentral:rRNA from 1 species
GGGACACGUGGUAUCCUGUCUGAAUAUGGGGGGACCAUCCUCCAAGGCUAAAUACUCCUGACUGACCGAUAGUGAACCAGUACCGUGAGGGAAAGGCGAAAAGAACCCCGGCGAGGGGAGUGAAAAAGAACCUGAAACCGUGUACGUACAAGCAGUGGGAGCACGCUUAGGCGUGUGACUGCGUACCUUUUGUAUAAUGGGUCAGCGACUUAUAUUCUGUAGCAAGGUUAACCGAAUAGGGGAGCCGAAGGGAAACCGAGUCUUAACUGGGCGUUAAGUUGCAGGGUAUAGACCCGAAACCCGGUGAUCUAGCCAUGGGCAGGUUGAAGGUUGGGUAACACUAACUGGAGGACCGAACCGACUAAUGUUGAAAAAUUAGCGGAUGACUUGUGGCUGGGGGUGAAAGGCCAAUCAAACCGGGAGAUAGCUGGUUCUCCCCGAAAGCUAUUUAGGUAGCGCCUCGUGAAUUCAUCUCCGGGGGUAGAGCACUGUUUCGGCAAGGGGGUCAUCCCGACUUACCAACCCGAUGCAAACUGCGAAUACCGGAGAAUGUUAUCACGGGAGACACACGGCGGGUGCUAACGUCCGUCGUGAAGAGGGAAACAACCCAGACCGCCAGCUAAGGUCCCAAAGUCAUGGUUAAGUGGGAAACGAUGUGGGAAGGCCCAGACAGCCAGGAUGUUGGCUUAGAAGCAGCCAUCAUUUAAAGAAAGCGUAAUAGCUCACUGGUCGAGUCGGCCUGCGCGGAAGAUGUAACGGGGCUAAACCAUGCACCGAAGCUGCGGCAGCGACACUAUGUGUUGUUGGGUAGGGGAGCGUUCUGUAAGCCUGUGAAGGUGUGCUGUGAGGCAUGCUGGAGGUAUCAGAAGUGCGAAUGCUGACAUAAGUAACGAUAAAGCGGGUGAAAAGCCCGCUCGCCGGAAGACCAAGGGUUCCUGUCCAACGUUAAUCGGGGCAGGGUGAGUCGACCCCUAAGGCGAGGCCGAAAGGCGUAGUCGAUGGGAAACAGGUUAAUAUUCCUGUACUUGGUGUUACUGCGAAGGGGGGACGGAGAAGGCUAUGUUGGCCGGGCGACGGUUGUCCCGGUUUAAGCGUGUAGGCUGGUUUUCCAGGCAAAUCCGGAAAAUCAAGGCUGAGGCGUGAUGACGAGGCACUACGGUGCUGAAGCAACAAAUGCCCUGCUUCCAGGAAAAGCCUCUAAGCAUCAGGUAACAUCAAAUCGUACCCCAAACCGACACAGGUGGUCAGGUAGAGAAUACCAAGGCGCUUGAGAGAACUCGGGUGAAGGAACUAGGCAAAAUGGUGCCGUAACUUCGGGAGAAGGCACGCUGAUAUGUAGGUGAAGUCCCUCGCGGAUGGAGCUGAAAUCAGUCGAAGAUACCAGCUGGCUGCAACUGUUUAUUAAAAACACAGCACUGUGCAAACACGAAAGUGGACGUAUACGGUGUGACGCCUGCCCGGUGCC